rnacentral:rRNA from 1 species
CCUACGGGAGGCAGCAGUGGGGAAUAUUGGGCAAUGGGCGCAAGCCUGACCCCGCAACGCCGCGUGAAGGAAGAAGGCCUUCGGGUUGUAAACCUCUUUUGUCAGGGAGCAAAGGCGUCCACGUGUGGACGAGAGGAGAGUACCUGAAGAAAAAGCAUCGGCUAACUCCGUGCCAGCAGCCGCGGUAAUACGGAGGAUGCGAGCGUUAUCCGGAUGUAUUGGGUUUAAAGGGUGCGUAGGCGGGCUGUUAAGCCGGCGGUAAAAAUUCAGGGCUCAACCCUGUCGAGCCGUCGGAACGGGCAGUCGUGAGUGGGCGAGAAGUAUGCGGAAUGCGUGGUGUAGCGGUGAAAUGCAUAGAUAGCACGCAGAACGCCGAGUGCGAAGGCAGCAUACCGGCGCCCAACUGACGCUGAGGCACGAAAGCGUGGGGAUCGAACAGGAUCAGAUACCCGAGUAGUC